CAGAAUCAGAUCACUGGUCACAGGAAGCCAGUCAGACAGGGCCCCAUGACAAAACUGAGGACCCACAUAAAAAGAGAAGAGCUGGAGGACACACAGGCUGGUGGUGGGGGUGACGACACACAGAUCCAGAAGUUCAAUUGUGGGAAUUGUCUGCACCGGUCUCCUGUGCUCAGACUUGAUGGGUCGGAACAGACUUCUGGGAGCAAACACUGAGAAAAUGCUUUCCCUCCAUAUAGCUGGUAUGGCAGUGUGUUCCUGUAAAAGCAACAUCGAAACAUAAAGGGCGAAAGCCACCACCACCAACCACAAAAGUCCUCAGUUGCUUUUAUCUCCUUUCUUCCGAGUUUCAUCUCUUCCUGGAACCCAGGCUUCCUGCCCUCAGCAUCUGCUUCCCUUGAGAUCCAUGUCUUGGUACUUCCAUCCGUCCUAGAUGAACUGACCCUCUGACUUCUACAGCUUGAAAAUUUGUCUUGGAAAUUGGAACCCUGGACUGGAUUUUGACCUCAGUGGAUCAAGCCAUAGUGGUGGAGCAUAAAGAAAUGAAAGGCCCCUUCCCUUGACACUUUUGAUUGCAUAAUGGUGAGCACUCCCACUCCCACCAUGAACACAGCUACUAUUUACCUUGAAUGUAAUUGUAUUGAUUCAUGAAAGGCAACUUUCUCCUGCUUUGGAGUGUUGUGACUGGAGUUUGCCACCAGAUCGAUGUCCUAUCUUCAGAUAAAAGGUACAGAUUCUCUCUUGCUCUUUAUCACCUGAGACAAUGCGGGGCUGUUCUCUAAGGUCAGAACACCCUGCUUCUCUCUGUCUCUUCUUCCAGAAGAAAUUGAAACUCCUCAGAGU